UUACGUUCACGAAAUGAGGAUAACAGAACACAUGUCUUUUUAGAUCCACCAAAGACACCAAUACAGAUUUUAUAUCAGUGAAUCGGGUUUCUAUAUCUGAUAUAAUCUAUAGGAAUGUCGGUUAUUAUCUAUAUUUCAUCGUAUGUGACGUAUAUAGGAAUGGCUACUUGUAUGCUAUGCCCGCAUGUUUCCCAAUGGAAAUUGAGAGCAAGGGGAUAUUGUAACAGCAGUCAUCCAUGGUACAGUUGCCUAUAUGACGAAAAUAGCAUGACUUAUAAAGAAUUCUGCAAACCAAGUCCAGAUUUUCAACGUCCAGGUUACAAAUUUGUUAUACGAGGUGACAUUGAUGGAAAACCCUGUGAUGACGAGCAUUACCAGCCAAUUAAGUUUUGGACAAAUGGAAGUAGUGCAUGCAUAUUUAAGAAGUCGGAUUGCAACGGUAAAGGUCAGACUGUAUCAAACAAUGGCAAUGUCACGUCAAAUAAGAUGUGUCAAUGUGACUACACAAAAGGCUACACAUUCGUUGCCAAACCAAGGAAUGGUUGUCACUGUGACCCGGCAAGAGAAGAUUGUUCGUGCUAUUUGAUAUCAUGCUUGUCUAUUGGAGUUCUUU